GAUCAAGCUACAAAGGGUUUAUUAUGAAUGACUGGGCAGAUAAAGGCGAUGAAGGACGUGGAAAGCUGCGAUAAGCCCCGGGGAGCCGCAAUUGGCUUUGAUCCGGGGAUCUCCGAAUGGGGCAACCCCAUCAGGUUCAUCCCUGAUGAUCUCCUGCUGAAUACAUAGGCAGGUUGAAGCUAUACCAGGUGAACUGAAACAUCUAAGUAACCUGAGGAAAAGAAACCGAAUGGGAUUCUCUUAGUAGCGGCGAGCGAAGAGAGAAAAGGCUAAACCGACGAGCUUGCUCGUCGGGGUUGCGGGACCUCAACGUGGUAUUGUGAGGGAAUAGCGGAAGUGUUUGAAAAAACACGCCAUAGACUGUGAGAGCCAGGUACGCGAAAUUCCCAAGCAGCCUAGAGGUAUCCCAAGUACUGCCGGGCACGGGAAAUCUGGCAGGAAUCUGGCCCGACCAUGGGCUAAGCCUAAAUACUCAAUCUGACCGAAAGUGGACAAGUACCGUGAGGGAAAGUUGAAAAGAACCCCGGGAGGGGAGUGAAAUAGAACCUGAAAUAAUAAACCUACAAGCUGUCGGAGGCCUAUGCAUGCUUUCGGGCAUGAACGGCUGACGGCGUACCUUUUGCAUAAUGGACCAACGAGUUAUUAUAUGUUGCAAGCUUAAGCUCCUCUGGAGUGUAGGCGUAGGGAAACCGAGUCUGAAUAGGGCGACCAUAGUAACAUAUAAUAGACCCGAAACCAUGUGAUCUACCCAUGGCCAGGUUGAAGCUUAUCGAAAGAUAAGUGGAGGACCGAACGCAUUAUCGUUGAAAAGAUUCGCGAUGAGCUGUGGGUCGGAGUGAAAGGCUAGUCAAACAUGGCAAUUGCUGGUUCUCCCCGAAAUAGUUCUAGGACUAGCUUCAAGGAAUUGAUAAUCAGGGGUAGAGUUACUGAAUAGACUAGGGGCCCUACCGGGCUGCCAAAUCUAACCAAACUCCGAAUACUGAUUAUUUUAUCUUGGAAGUCAGAGUAUGAGGGCUAAGCUUCAUACUCGAGAGGGAAACAGCCCAGACCAUCAACUAAGGUCCCAAAUAUAGACUAAGUGGUAAAGGAAGUGAGAUCACAUAGACAGCCGGGAUGUUGGCUUAGAGGCAGCCAUCAUUUAAAGAGUGCGUAACAGCUCACCGGUCGAGUGAUUUCGCGCCGAAAAUGAUCGGGGCUCAAGUCUAUAACCGAAGUUAUGGCUUUUCGUCGCAUGCGUGCGGCGGAAGGGGUAGGGGAGCGUAGUGCUAAGCGUUGAAGGCAUACCGAGAGGAAUGCUGGAGUUGGCACUAGUGAUACUGUUGGUAUGAGUAGCGAAAACUAUAGCGAGAAACUAUAGCAUCGAAAAUCUCAGGUUU
rnacentral:rRNA from 1 species